rnacentral:rRNA from 1 species
AGUGAACGCUGGCGGUAGGCCUAACACAUGCAAGUCGAACGGCAGCACAGUAAGAGCUUGCUCUUACGGGUGGCGAGUGGCGGACGGGUGAGGAAUACAUCGGAAUCUACUUUUUCGUGGGGGCUAACGUAGGGAAACUUACGCUAAUACAGCAUACGACCUACGGGUGAAAGCAGGGGAUCUUCGGACCUUGCGCGAUUGAAUGAGCCGAUGUCGGAUUAGCUAGUUGGCGGGGCAAAGGCCCACCACGGCGACGAUCCGUAGCUGGUCUGAGAGGAUCAUCACCCAGACUGGAACAGAGAAAGGGCCCAGACUCCUGCGGGAGGACGCAGUCGGGAAUAUUGGACGAGGGGGGAGAGCCUGAUCCAGGCAUACCGCGUGGAGGAAGAAGGACCUCGGGUUCGAAAGCCCUUUUGUUGGGAAAGAAGAGCAGCAGGUUAAUACCCCGCUGUUCUGACGGUACCCAAAGAAUAAGCACCGGCUAACUUCGUG